UGAGCACGAUUUGACUGCGUAUCCUCGUAUCAUUGAAAAAUAAUAGUUAUCCAUUCUCCUCUUAAACUACUCGAAUAAUUACGUCAUUUUAAUGACUGCGUAUCCCCGUAUCCCCGUAUCAUUGAAAUAUAAUAGUUACCAAUUCUCCUCUUCAACUACACGAAUAAUUACGUCAUUUUAAUGACUGCGUAUUCCCGUAUCCCCGUAUCAUUGAAAUAUAAUAGUUAUACCAAUUCUCCUUUUAAAGUACACGAAUAAUUACGUCAUUUUAAUGACUGCGUAUCCCCGUAUUCCCGUAUCAUUGAAAAAUAAUAGUUACCCAUUCUCCUUUUAAACUACUCGAAUAAUUACGUCAUUUUAAUGACUGCGUAUCCCCGUAUCCCCGUAUCAUUGAAAAAUAAUAGUUACCCAUUCUCUUCUUAAACUACUCGAAUAAUUCGUCUUAAACUACUCAAAUAAUUACGUCAUUUUAAUGACUGCGUAUCCCCGUAUCCCCGUAUCAUUGAAAAAUAAUAGUUACCCAUUCUCUUCUUAAACUACUCGAAAAAUUCCUCUUAAACUACUCAAAUCAUUACGUCAUUUUAAUGACUGCGUAUCCCCGUAUCAUUGAAAAAUAAUAGUUACCCAUUCUCCUUUUAAACUACUCAAAUAAUUACGUCAUUUUAAUGACUGCGUAUCCCCGUAUCCCCGUAUCACUGAAAAAUAAUAGUUACCCAUUCUCCUUUUAAACUACUCAAAUAAUUACGUCAUUUUAAUGACUGCGUAUCCCCGUAUCCCCGUAUCACUGAAAAAUAAUAAGUUACCCAUUCUCCUUUUAAACUACUCGAAUAAUUACGUCAUUUUACUGACUGCGUAUCCCCGUAUCAUUGAAAAAUAAUAGUUACCCAUUCUCCUCUUAAACUACUCGAAUAAUUACGUCAUUUUAAUGACUGCGUAUCCCCGUAUCAUUGAAAAAUAAUAGUUACCCAUUCUCCUUUUAAACUACUCGAAUAAUUACGUCAUUUUAAUGACUGCGUAUCCCCGUAUCCCCGUAUCAUUGAAAAAUAAUAGUUACCCAUUCUCCUUUUAAACUACUCGAAUAAUUACGUCAUUUUAAUGACUGCGUAUCCCUAUAUCCCCGUAUCAUUGAAAAAUAAUAGUUACCCAUUCUCCUCUUAAACUACUACUCGAAUAAUUACGUCAUUUUAAUGACUGCGUAUCCCCGUAUCCCCGUAUCAUUGAAAAAUAAUAGUUACCAAUUCUCCUCUUAAACUACUACUCGAAUAAUUACGUCAUUUUAAUGACUGCGUAUCCCCGUAUCCCCCAAAAACAAACACUAUCAAAAUUCAAAAGUGGCCGGGUAUUCUAUAAUCGCUCCAAAAUCUUACCGGUGAAUAAAAAUAUAUUCUUCUCGUUCUUGUUUGGACUUUGGAGAAUUCUCACACAUACGAGCGGCGUAAAAAUACAGUAUCCGUUGUAAAUCAAGCAAAUUGGAAGAAAAAUAUCACGAUUUUCAGUGAGAUUUUCUUCUCAAAAACAAUUUUUUUAGGCUCAAACCAGGGGGGUGAAGUACAUCGUCGAAAGCUUAGGAUCGCGGUUGGGACAGUGGUAGUUGCCAUGAAUUUAGGGACCAGUAGUCAUGGCAAUGGCGUCAGAUCCGCCAUGUUUUUGGCGACACUUUUUUAUCCCGAGCAGGUCCUCCAGUAAUAUAGUAUAGCUCAGUGGUGGAAACGCGCUUAUUACCGCGUGAUCUAUGUGUGAUGCGCCAGAGAACUGGCACUAGCGCGCGUUUUGAGAGAAAAGCAAAAAGAAAAGCGAAAACAUGGCGGAAAAAAGAUUGUUGUGUGACUUUGAAAGCCAGGGCAAAAAUAGACGUAAGACCUUUUUUAAUGUGAGAUUUCUUUGAUUAAUUUUUAAAAGGAGCAUUAUUUUAUGCUAUUAAUAAACUUUUUAUGUAAGAAGCAUCCGACGUAUUUGAGAAAAUUUCCAUUAUUUUAAUGUGAGGGGCAUCAAAUUUUAUUACUUUACGCACGACAACAGAGAUUAAAAUCAAUGCUGUCUGAACACUAGGUAGGCCUAGAUAAAUUUGAUAGCUUAAAAAUGUGUGGAGUUUCUCUGGCUUUAGUACACAAUAUAUACCAAUACCGGCUUUUACCGGCUUUUUUUGCUAUGCUUAAAUAAUUUUCUCAGCGCGUGAGAGCUAAAACAUAAAAAGCCUACAAAUCGCGGUCAAACUAAAAGUCAG
rnacentral:lncRNA from 1 species